UUGUCGCCAGCUCGUGUCGUGAGAUGUUGGGUUAAGUCCCGCAACGAGCGCAACCCUUGCCUUUAGUUGCCAGCAGUUCGGCUGGGCACUCUAAAGGGACUGCCGGUGUUAAACCGGAGGAAGGUGGGGAUGACGUCAAGUCCUCAUGGCCUUUAUGACCAGGGCUACACACGUACUACAAUGGCCGAUACAAAGGGCAGCGACACUGCGAGGUGAAGCCAAUCCCGUAAAAUCGGUCUCAGUCCGGAUUGGAGUCUGCAACUCGACUCCAUGAAGUUGGAAUCGCUAGUAAUCGUGGAUCAGCAUGCCACGGUGAAUACGUUCCCGGGCCUU
rnacentral:rRNA from 1 species